CGAUUGCAUUGUCCAAAGGUCUUUUCUCACCUUUGCUUGCACAAUGAUGGGAAAAUGACCUUGGGACACGCCCGGAUAUGAACAUAAAGGUGAAGCGUAAGCUUCGCGAUAUGCAAAUAUCAGGGAGGAUUGCGGGAGUGCGUAACACGUAACAAUCCGUGCAAUCA
rnacentral:sRNA from 23 species